UCCUAGCCCUGAUAGUAGUGGAAAUCCUUUUACUUUUUUCUUUAAAAAGUAAAAGAUUGAAACGGAUAGCAGGAAAUAGC
rnacentral:sRNA from 1 species